GAUGAACGCUGGCGGCGUGCCUAACACAUGCAAGUCGAACGGACAUUUUUUGGAAAGCUCUUCGGAACUGGAUCUAAAUGUUAGUGGCGGACGGGUGAGUAACGCGUGAGCAAUCUGCCUUUCAGAGGGGGAUAACAGUUGGAAACGACUGCUAAUACCGCAUACGAUCUAACCUCGGCAUCGAGGAAAGAUGAAAGGUGGCCUCUAUUUAUAAGCUAUCACUGAAGGAGGGGAUUGCGUCUGAUUAGCUAGUUGGAGGGGUAACGGCCCACCAAGGCGAUGAUCAGUAGCCGGUCUGAGAGGAUGAACGGCCACAUUGGGACUGAGACACGGCCCAG
rnacentral:rRNA from 1 species